rnacentral:rRNA from 1 species
GAUGAACGCUAGCUACAGGCUUAACACAUGCAAGUCGAGGGGAAACGGCAUUUAGUGCUUGCACUGAAUGGACGUCGACCGGCGCACGGGUGAGUAACGCGUAUCCAACCUACCCAUUACUGUGGGAUAACCUGCCGAAAGGCAGACUAAUACCGCAUAGUCUUCGAUGACGGCAUCAGAUUUGAAGUAAAGAUUUAUCGGUAAUGGAUGGGGAUGCGUCUGAUUAGCUUGUUGGCGGGGUAACGGCCCACCAAGGCAACGAUCAGUAGGGGUUCUGAGAGGAAGGUCCCCCACAUUGGAACUGAGACACGGUCCAAACUCCUACGGGAGGCAGCAGUGAGGAAUAUUGGUCAAUGGGCGAGAGCCUGAACCAGCCAAGUAGCGUGCAGGAUGACGGCCCUAUGGGUUGUAAACUGCUUUUGUAUGGGGAUAAAGUCAAUCACGUGUGAUUGUUUGCAGGUACCAUACGAAUAAGGACCGGCUAAUUCCGUGCCAGCAGCCGCGGUAAUACGGAAGGUCCGGGCGUUAUCCGGAUUUAUUGGGUUUAAAGGGAGCGUAGGCUGGAGAUUAAGUGUGUUGUGAAAUGUAGACGCUCAACGUCUGACUUGCAGCGCAUACUGGUUUCCUUGAGUACGCACAACGUUGGCGGAAUUCGUCGUGUAGCGGUGAAAUGCUUAGAUAUGACGAAGAACUCCGAUUGCGAAGGCAGCUGACGGGAGCGCAACUGACGCUUAAGCUCGAAGGUGCGGGUAUCGAACAGG